rnacentral:rRNA from 1 species
AACGAACGCUGGCGGCAGGCUUAACACAUGCAAGUCGAGCGCCCCGCAAGGGGAGCGGCAGACGGGUGAGUAACGCGUGGGAAUCUACCCAUCCCUACGGAAUAGCUCCGGGAAACUGGAAUUAAUACCGUAUACGCCCUACGGGGGAAAGAUUUAUCGGGGAUGGAUGAGCCCGCGUUGGAUUAGCUAGUUGGUGGGGUAAAGGCCUACCAAGGCGACGAUCCAUAGCUGGUCUGAGAGGAUGAUCAGCCACAUUGGGACUGAGACACGGCCCAAACUCCUACGGGAGGCAGCAGUGGGGAAUAUUGGACAAUGGGGGCAACCCUGAUCCAGCCAUGCCGCGUGAGUGAUGAAGGCCUUAGGGUUGUAAAGCUCUUUCACCGGGGAAGAUAAUGACGGUACCCGGGGAAGAAGCCCCGGCUAACUUCGUGCCAGCAGCCGCGGUAAUACGAAGGGGGC